CCUAAUUUGUGUUAAUUUUCUUUUGUUUUUAGUUAUGGACCCAUUUUGAAGCAAUUGGAAAAGAAAAUAAUCAAUUGGCUAUUACAUUGAGUUUGUGGACAAAAUCUCGCGGAAUAAAAGAUGGAGGAUCAAAAUUGAGGAGAAAAUGAAGAGAAGGACCAACUUGCAUUACACGAAAGAAAUACACAAAACUUAUUGGACUUGGGCUUCUAAUUUGUAUACAGAAUAAGGGCUUUUUUUGCUUAGGUAUAUGUAUACUUGCAGUCGAGAAAAGCCGAGGGGGGUAGACAAAAAUUCAUAAACACAUAGACAGAAAACGACGAGGAAGAGGCAGCCGUGGGAGGAAAUUAGAAUCCCUUUUGGGAUUAUUCAAGUCGGCGGCAAAUUGAGAGGAAGCCGGGGCUGAGUUGAAUAUAUUAAAUACAAAAGAAAACGGCAGGUUGAAGGGAGUGCCGGGGGCUGAAUUUAUAUUAUUGGAUGCACAGAAAACGACAGAUUGAAAUUGCUGAAUUGAUAUAGACGGCCAGCAGCUGACGGUGAAUUGGUGGGCUGCAAAGUUUGAAUUAAAUACACAUACACACCCACCAGAAGCCAAUAUUUGGAAGAGAUUAGAGACGCAGAAAACGACGGCUGGAAUUAAUAAAUUUGGAAGCUGAAUUGAUUAUAUUAUAUACAAAACAAUUGAAGUGGGCGGCAGCUUUGGACUCUAGUAUUGUAUUACAAAAGUGAGGGGCCUAAUUGGAAUAAUAUAUAUACUAGAUAGAGGACAGCAAACACGAGACGGAGACGGACGGAAGGCAGCGGCUUAAAGGAAAAAAUUUCAGAUUACUCUUGGAAGGAACUUUGAUGUCAAUCACGUUCCGUCAAUUAUUGGUGAUGUCGUUCCACUUUUAUUUAUUUAAUUUUGCCGUUAUGUUAGGCUAGAUCUUUUAUGCUAGGAUUUGCGAUAAAUCUUAUAUUAUGAACCCUUAAUCUUGAAUUUUAUUUAUUCGACGUUAAAACAUGUUUUUAAUUAUUGAAUGAUUGACAUGGAUUUUAUUCUCUACAAUUAUAGGCGCAAUAUUUGUAUGAGAUUUGUGGCUUGUGUUACUCUCGAGAGAUAGAAAAUAAGUUAGACAUUAUGUUAAUUGUCGUAAAGUCCGAUAGGGGAUAGA